rnacentral:piRNA from 1 species
UGGGCUGUUUUUGGUUGGGAGACUAUUAA